ACCCCCGUAACUUCGGGAGAAGGGGGGCCCAGAGGGUGACGGGACUUGCUCCCCGAGCCUGAACGGCCGCAGAGACCAGGGAGAAGCGACUGUUUACUAAAAACACAGGUCCGUGCCAAGUCGCAAGACGAUGUAUACGGACUGACGCCUGCCCGGUGCUGGAACGUUAAGGGGACCGGUUAGCCUCACGGCGAAGCUGAGAACUUAAGCGCCAGUAAACGGCGGUGGUAACUAUAACCAUCCUAAGGUAGCGAAAUUCCUUGUCGGGUAAGUUCCGACCUGCACGAAUGGCGUAACGAUUUCUCCACUGUCUCAACCACGAACUCGGCGAAAUUGCACUACGAGUAAAGAUGCUCGUUACGCGCAGAAGGACGGAAAGACCCCGGGACCUUUACUACAGCUUGGUAUUGGUGUUCGGUACGGCUUGUGUAGGAUAGGUGGGAGACUGUGAAGCUGACACGCCAGUGUCGGUGGAGUCAACGUUGAAAUACCACUCUGGUCGUUCUGGAUAUCUAACCUAGGUCCGUGAUCCGGAUCAGGGACAGUGCCUGGUGGGUAGUUUAACUGGGGCGGUUGCCUCCUAAAAGGUAACGGAGGCGCCCAAAGGUUCCCUCAGCCUGGUUGGCAAUCAGGUUUUGAGUGUAAGUGCACAAGGGAGCUUGACUGUGAGACUGACAAGUCGAACAGGGACGAAAGUCGGGACUAGUGUUCCGGCGGUGGCUUGUGGAAGCGCCGUCGCUCAACGGAUAAAAGGUACCCCGGGGAUAACAGGCUGAUCUUGCCCAAGAGUCCAUAUCGACGGCAUGGUUUGGCACCUCGAUGUCGGCUCGUCGCAUCCUGGGGCUGGAGUAGGUCCCAAGGGUUGGGCUGUUCGCCCAUUAAAGCGGCACGCGAGCUGGGUUUAGAACGUCGUGAGACAGUUCGGUCCCUAUCCUCUGCGCGCGCAGGAAACUUGAGAAGGGCUGUCCCUAGUACGAGAGGACCGGGAUGGACGAACCUCUGGUGUGUCAGUUGUUCUGCCAAGAGCACCGCUGAUUAGCUACGUUCGGGAGUGAUAACCGCUGAAAGCAUCUAAGCGGGAAGCAUGCUUCAAGAUGAGGUUUCCAUGGGGUUUACCCCGAGAGGCUCCCAGCUAGACUACUGGGUUGAUAGGCCGGAUGUGGAAGUGCGGUAACGCAUGGAGCUGACCGGUACUAAUAAGCCGAUAACUUGUC
rnacentral:rRNA from 1 species